ACGGAAGGCAGCAGUGGGGAAUAUUGCACAAUGGGGGAAACCCUGAUGCAGCGACGCCGCGUGAGCGAUGAAGUAUUUCGGUAUGUAAAGCUCUAUCAGCAGGGAAGAAAAUGACGGUACCUGACUAAGAAGCUCCGGCUAAAUACGUGCCAGCAGCCGCGGUAGUACGUAUGGAGCAAGCGUUAUCCGGAUUUACUGGGUGUAAAGGGAGCGUAGGCGGAAGGCUAAGUCUGAUGUGAAAACCCAGGGCUCAACCUUGGGACUGCAUUGGAAACUGGUUUUCUAGAGUGUCGGAGGGGUAAGUGGAAUUCCUAGUGUAGCGGUGAAAUGCGUAGAUAUUAGGAGGAACACCAGUGGCGAAGGCGGCUUACUGGACGACAACUGACGCUGAGGCUCGAAAGCGUGGGGAGCAAACAGGAUUAGAUACCCUGGUA
rnacentral:rRNA from 1 species